rnacentral:rRNA from 1 species
CAGUAGCCGCGGUAAUACGUAGGGCGCAAGCGUUGUCCGGAAUUAUUGGGCGUAAAGAGCUCGUAGGCGGUCUGUCGCGUCUGGUGUGAAAUCCCGAGGCUCAACCUCGGGCUUGCAUCGGGUACGGGCAGACUAGAGUGCGGUAGGGGAGACUGGAAUUCCUGGUGUAGCGGUGGAAUGCGCAGAUAUCAGGAGGAACACCGAUGGCGAAGGCAGGUCUCUGGGCCGCAACUGACGCUGAGGAGCGAAAGCAUGGGGAGCGAACAGGAUUAGAUACCCCUGUAGUCCCUGUCUCUUAUAC